AUGGACGAGACCCCGAUGGCGAGGAGAUCCGCCUCCCCCACCGCCACCCCCACCACCGUAACGCCCGGCUCCACCGCCUCCUCCUGCUCCUCCAACUCCGACCCCGCGGCGCGGACGCCCCCGCCCGCCUACCUCGUCCCGUGGGCGCGCCCCGCCGCCGAGGGCGGCGGCAGGGGCUACUACCCCGGCUGCCGCAAGGACGCCAACUGCGCCUGCGAGAUCUGCCUCGCCAGCAUCAACGCCACGCGGGACCUCCUCCCGCCCGAGGCCGCCUCCGCGCGCCGCUGCUUCGCCGCCGCCGCCAGGGACCGGAGGCCCGGGACGCGCUCGCUCUUCCUCGCGCGCGACGGCGGCGCCACGCCCGGGUCCGCGGUCACCGAGCCGUGGACGCCGCCGCUGCGCUCCACCGCCAAGUCGAGGCGGGAUGCGGCGGCCGCCAAGGCCCGGAGGUCCUCGUCGCCCGACUGGGCGCUCUACGCGCUGACGGUUCUUGGGUUCUUGCUCCUGCUGUGGGUGGACACGGGGCUCGUCCCGGAGGUCGCGGCCAGGGGGUUCGGCCCCAAGCUGUCGCCGGAGGCCGUCGCGCGGAUGGGCCAGGAGGCGCGCCUUGCGCCUGCCGACCUCGGCCACAAACUGCGCUUCCUGGAGCGAGGGGUCCGGCAGCUCGUCGGCGCCGACAGGAUCUCCAACUGCAGCUCGAAGGAUUCCGUCUGGCGACUCCAGCAGAAUGAUCAGCAUUUGUUCCAUUGGCGCUGCUCACUAUACAAGACGGCGGCAGAGGAGGUCAGCAUCUGGGGGAGCCCGCUCCGGACCUCCGGCCUACUCCCGUCCACGCUCUCGACACGGCACAUCACCAUCCUCUCCGGCAAGGUCACGGAGUGGUCGGACGGGAGCGUGUUGCCGACGGUGAGGGCGAGCAACGGCAGCUCCUGGAGCUACCGGGGCCGGAGCGCAGCGGCGGUGCUGCUGGAACCAGAGACGUGGGUGCUGGAGUACCAGAGGAGCGUGCUGUUCGAGGGGACACGGCUGCUGCCGGCCACGGUGGAGCUGCUGGCGUCCAGGUGCUCGGAGAUGGCGAAACGGGCGCGGCGGAAGCUGUCCAAGAAGCGGUUCCGCGGCGGGAUCCAGGCGAAGCCGACUUGA
rnacentral:rRNA from 1 species